rnacentral:lncRNA from 1 species
UCUUGAUGACGCACAGUGCUGGCGCAAGUCGUCUUGCGCCAGGCGACUGGGUCUGAGGAGGCAGGAGUUAUUCAUUCCCUUAAGCUUUCAGGCCGGGGGGAGAAUCUUUCAGGUGGUAGCUGCAAGAACUCUUAGUAUGUUGACCUCACCUCUGCCUUCCACAUACCACUACCAGUGAGGAAUUAGGAAUGCAUGAGAAGAGUGUCCAAGAAGAGUGUCCUCAUUCAUGCAAGGCUUAAGAGAGAAUGCAGGUCAACAUCACCAUGUCAAUCAGAGAAUACUUCUGUUGGGUUGAAUGACUCUCUGCCCCCAGGUGCAGAUGCUGAGAGCACUUUCUAGUCAAGUCCUGCAUGUUCAUUUCUGUCUCAAGUCAGCUUCUCUGAGAAUCCAAUUUAUAAAAAUAUAUUUGUGAAUGUAUAAGUAAAGUGACUUGGAUUUUGUCUACGUACAAGGACUUCUAUGCCUGCAUAAAACAGUUUGGAACCAGCAGCAGCAGCAGCUCCCCAGACCUACUGAAUCAGAAUCUACAUUUUGAUAAGAGC